rnacentral:rRNA from 1 species
UACGUAGGUGGCAAGCGUUGUCCGGAAUUAUUGGGCGUAAAGCGCUCGCAGGCGGUCUUUUAAGUCUGAUGUGAAAGCCCACGGCUUAACCGUGGAGGGUCAUUGGAAACUGGAGGACUUGAGUACAGAAGAGGAGAGUGGAAUUCCACGUGUAGCGGUGAAAUGCGUAGAGAUCCGGAGGAACACCAGUGGCGAAGGCGGCAUCCUGGACCGGCAUUGACGCUGAGGCGCGAAAGCUAGGGGAGCAAACGGG